rnacentral:rRNA from 1 species
AUUGAACGCUGGCGGCAGGCCUAACACAUGCAAGUCGAGCGGAUGAAGGGAGCUUGCUCCUGGAUUCAGCGGCGGACGGGUGAGUAAUGCCUAGGAAUCUGCCUGGUAGUGGGGGAUAACGUCCGGAAACGGGCGCUAAUACCGCAUACGUCCUGAGGGAGAAAGUGGGGGAUCUUCGGACCUCACGCUAUCAGAUGAGCCUAGGUCGGAUUAGCUAGUUGGUGGGGUAAAGGCCUACCAAGGCGACGAUCCGUAACUGGUCUGAGAGGAUGAUCAGUCACACUGGAACCGAGACACGGUCCAGACUCCUACGGGAGGCAGCAGUGGGGAAUAUUGGACAAUGGGCGAAAGCCUGAUCCAGCCAUGCCGCGUGUGUGAAGAAGGUCUUCGGAUUGUAAAGCACUUUAAGUUGGGAGGAAGGGCAGUAAGUUAAUACCUUGCUGUUUUGACGUUACCAACAGAAUAAGCACCGGUUAACUUCGUG